rnacentral:rRNA from 1 species
GAUGAACGCUGGCGGCGUGCUUAACACAUGCAAGUCGAACGGAAAGGCUCCUGCUUGCAGGGGAACUCGAGGGGGAAACGGGGGAGUAACAGGGGGGUGAUCUGCCCUGCACUUGGGGAUAAGCUGGGGAAACGGGGGCUAAUACGGGAUAGGAGGAGGGUUGGGAGGCCAGUGGGGAAGGUUUUUUCGGGGUGGGAUGAGCUCGCGGCCUAUCGGCUUGUGGGGGGGGUAAUGGCCUACCAAGGCGUCGACGGGUGGCCGGCCUGAGAGGGUGUACGGCCACAUUGGGACUGAGAUACGGCCCAGACUCCUCCGGGAGGCAGCAGUGGGGAAUAUUGCACAAUGGGCGCAAGCCUGAUGCAGCGACGCCGCGUGGGGGAUGACGGCCUUCGGGUUGUAAACUCCUUUCGCUAGGGACGAAGCGCAAGUGACGGUACCUGGAGAAGAAGCACCGGCUAACUACGUG